rnacentral:lncRNA from 1 species
GCCAGUUCUGAGCUUAGGAUGUUGAGCUUCGUCUUUGUGCUCCUUCUUUAGAGACGGCUGACCUCCUCUGCGAGUGAGCGUCCCCUGCACCCCUUCAGUGCAAGCCCUGGGAAGGUUGCACAGAAGUGGAGCCGUGAGCUGAGAAUACAUUGUUGCCUUGGAAGCUGCCAGGAGAAGAGCAGAAGACAGAACCCACCCUGCCAGCCCUUUACAGUAGCAUCGAUCUAUGCAGGAGGUGGAGUGCGCGUGAUUCGAACACCUCCCCAAGGCCCCACCCUCUCAGUGCUGCUGUUUGGGAUUAAGUUUCCAACAUAGGAGAUGGCGGAGGGGCACAGUCAAAAUAGCCAGGAGGCUAUGGAGUGACUGUCCAAGGGCACAUCUGCAUUACUGUUCCUUAUCCCUUACCCAUCCUAUAUUGGUUUUCCAGAGCUGCCAUAAUAAAUUAUCACAAAC